GAUACUCAAUUUUGCAGAACCUCAUCUGUCGAAGAGGACUACAGGUCUAAUCACUCCUUCACAUUGCUGUUAAGUAAUACAUGUGUUUUGAAGAUAAAACAUGCCUUCUACAGAAGUCGCAAACACUGCACCCCUGCUUCCGGCAGACACAAAGUGUUAGUGCUGGUUUAGAAGAGCCAUUCAUUCUUUCGGCUGCUUCCAGAACGACAUGGCACGGCACUAACAAAGACUUGGUUACAGGCGAGCACAGGAGCGGCAUGCUCAGAUGAGUUUGCUGGCCAGCAUGGAUUUCUUUGUCUUUUAAUGAGUCAAAUGUUUUAAAAUUUGACGAAAUCUACGAGAGUUUCCGCUCUGAGACAGGCGUGAUUAUCCAGCUCAAGCUGCUGUCAGCCCUGCAUCCGUUCUCUUCUCAGCUUCCGAGUUCUGGGGUUGCAGGCAUGUGCCACUACACUCAGGAUAACUACCGAGGCACACACGCGCGAAGAAGCCCUGGGACCCCAGCAGUGUAUACUCAGUAUGUUAAAGGGACACGGGAGGACAUGGGAUCACAAACUUUGUGAACCAGCUGCUUAGUUCCGGCAGGGUGAACUGUGACUGCGGCAGAGUGUGCCUAGUCCUGCCCACCACUCAACCACCUCCAUCCUCCACCCUGUUCAAGAACUACCUGACAUUUCUUUGAUUAAAUUAUUUGAUAAAUUAAAUCCCCUGCAAAUUAUACCUCACAUAAUGAAUAUGGAGAACAUGUUUUCAUGAAAGAACAAUCUUUUGCAUACAUAUUUCAGUUGUUUUUAUCUCGCCACAUGGU